CCAGUCCAGAUGUAGUUUCGUGUUUCUAUUCGAUAUGGCGUGUACGUGUACGUACGGCGAGAUGUUGUCCUUGAAUAAAUCAUGUAAUAAUCAAUCUCGUCUUUCAAUGGACUAUGAAGUACUAAAUACAUAAUAGUAGUUGGAUGGCAGAAUAUGAAUCAAAUUUCACUUGAAAAAAAAUUUGCCCCCCCCCCCCCCCCACUUCACGUGGCCAAGUUACUCCUCUGACAGUGUCAUUUGCUCUCAAUCAUGUAUCCAUCAAGGUGAAAGAUGACUAGAACUGAACAAAAAUAUAGAAGAACUUUGGCAGACAUUGUUAAGUCUCUGCAAAGUUGAUGCUGUUAUUCUGGUUACAGAAAAAACAUGGAACAAAUGUAAAAUUCUCAAGACAUCCAACAAUUGUUAGCUUUCGAGCAAGUAGUGAGAAUGUGCAGCAGAGUGAAAUUAUGAAUUAUUUACUCUGCUUUAUCACUCAGGCUCGAGUACUGUUUGACAUUGCAUUCUCAAGUAUGGGAUUGAAGUUAUGGAGUUACGAACUACUAACAUGACUUUGCCUUUUGUGUCUGAUUUUGAAGCAAUGUUUCUAGAAGAAUAUAUUUUGUUAGAUUUCAACAGUAAAAAUAGUUCCAUUGUUUGAAAAGAUUAAAUGUUUUGAAGAAUUUCUAUGGUCAGUGUGGUACUUACCUUUAUAGAAAAUUUUUAAUGUUUAAAAAUGAAUAAAACCUCUUUGCAUUGUUUACAUUUUGUUGUAACCCACCCUUGAAGUACCUCAUAUUUUUACUAUCAUUAUUAUUUAACAAUAAUAAUGGUUUCUUUGGUCACAGAAAAAUAGCUUUAUUUAAACAUCCAGUUGCAGUUAUGAUAGUUUCUUUUUUCUUUGCAACAUUUUUA